CACAUGCUGUGAGCUCGAUGAGUAGGGCGGGACACGUGGUAUCCUGUCUGAAUAUGGGGGGACCAUCCUCCAAGGCUAAAUACUCCUGACUGACCGAUAGUGAACCAGUACCGUGAGGGAAAGGCGAAAAGAACCCCGGCGAGGGGAGUGAAAAAGAACCUGAAACCGUGUACGUACAAGCAGUGGGAGCACGCUUAGGCGUGUGACUGCGUACCUUUUGUAUAAUGGGUCAGCGACUUAUAUUCUGUAGCAAGGUUAACCGAAUAGGGGAGCCGAAGGGAAACCGAGUCUUAACUGGGCGUUAAGUUGCAGGGUAUAGACCCGAAACCCGGUGAUCUAGCCAUGGGCAGGUUGAAGGUUGGGUAACACUAACUGGAGGACCGAACCGACUAAUGUUGAAAAAUUAGCGGAUGACUUGUGGCUGGGGGUGAAAGGCCAAUCAAACCGGGAGAUAGCUGGUUCUCCCCGAAAGCUAUUUAGGUAGCGCCUCGUGAAUUCAUCUCCGGGGGUAGAGCACUGUUUCGGCAAGGGGGUCAUCCCGACUUACCAACCCGAUGCAAACUGCGAAUACCGGAGAAUGUUAUCACGGGAGACACACGGCGGGUGCUAACGUCCGUCGUGAAGAGGGAAACAACCCAGACCGCCAGCUAAGGUCCCAAAGUCAUGGUUAAGUGGGAAACGAUGUGGGAAGGCCCAGACAGCCAGGAUGUUGGCUUAGAAGCAGCCAUCAUUUAAAGAAAGCGUAAUAGCUCACUGGUCGAGUCGGCCUGCGCGGAAGAUGUAACGGGGCUAAACCAUGCACCGAAGCUGCGGCAGCGACGCUUAUGCGUUGUUGGGUAGGGGAGCGUUCUGUAAGCCUGUGAAGGUGUGCUGUGAGGCAUGCUGGAGGUAUCAGAAGUGCGAAUGCUGACAUAAGUAACGAUAAAGCGGGUGAAAAGCCCGCUCGCCGGAAGACCAAGGGUUCCUGUCCAACGUUAAUCGGGGCAGGGUGAGUCGACCCCUAAGGCGAGGCCGAAAGGCGUAGUCGAUGGGAAACAGGUUAAUAUUCCUGUACUUGGUGUUACUGCGAAGGGGGGACGGAGAAGGCUAUGUUGGCCGGGCGACGGUUGUCCCGGUUUAAGCGUGUAGGCUGGUUUUCCAGGCAAAUCCGGAAAAUCAAGGCUGAGGCGUGAUGACGAGGCACUACGGUGCUGAAGCAACAAAUGCCCUGCUUCCAGGAAAAGCCUCUAAGCAUCAGGUAACAUCAAAUCGUACCCCAAACCGACACAGGUGGUCAGGUAGAGAAUACCAAGGCGCUUGAGAGAACUCGGGUGAAGGAACUAGGCAAAAUGGUGCCGUAACUUCGGGAGAAGGCACGCUGAUAUGUAGGUGAAGUCCCUCGCGGAUGGAGCUGAAAUCAGUCGAAGAUACCAGCUGGCUGCAACUGUUUAUUAAAAACACAGCACUGUGCAAACACGAAAGUGGACGUAUACGGUGUGACGCCUGCCCGGUGCCGGAAGGUUAAUUGAUGGGGUCAGCGCAAGCGAAGCUCUUGAUCGAAGCCCCGGUAAACGGCGGCCGUAACUAUAACGGUCCUAAGGUAGCGAAAUUCCUUGUCGGGUAAGUUCCGACCUGCACGAAUGGCGUAAUGAUGGCCAGGCUGUCUCCACCCGAGACUCAGUGAAAUUGAACUCGCUGUGAAGAUGCAGUGUACCCGCGGCAAGACGGAAAGACCCCGUGAACCUUUACUAUAGCUUGACACUGAACAUUGAGCCUUGAUGUGUAGGAUAGGUGGGAGGCUUAGAAGUGUGGACGCCAGUCUGCAUGGAGCCGACCUUGAAAUACCACCCUUUAAUGUUUGAUGUUCUAACGUUGACCCGUAAUCCGGGUUGCGGACAGUGUCUGGUGGGUAGUUUGACUGGGGCGGUCUCCUCCUAAAGAGUAACGGAGGAGCACGAAGGUUGGCUAAUCCUGGUCGGACAUCAGGAGGUUAGUGCAAUGGCAUAAGCCAGCUUGACUGCGAGCGUGACGGCGCGAGCAGGUGCGAAAGCAGGUCAUAGUGAUCCGGUGGUUCUGAAUGGAAGGGCCAUCGCUCAACGGAUAAAAGGUACUCCGGGGAUAACAGGCUGAUACCGCCCAAGAGUUCAUAUCGACGGCGGUGUUUGGCACCUCGAUGUCGGCUCAUCACAUCCUGGGGCUGAAGUAGGUCCCAAGGGUAUGGCUGUUCGCCAUUUAAAGUGGUACGCGAGCUGGGUUUAGAACGUCGUGAGACAGUUCGGUCCCUAUCUGCCGUGGGCGCUGGAGAACUGAGGGGGGCUGCUCCUAGUACGAGAGGACCGGAGUGGACGCAUCACUGGUGUUCGGGUUGUCAUGCCAAUGGCACUGCCCGGUAGCUAAAUGCGGAAGAGAUAAGUGCUGAAAGCAUCUAAGCACGAAACUUGCCCCGAGAUGAGUUCUCCCUGACUCCUUGAGAGUCCUGAAGGAACGUUGAAGACGACGACGUUGAUAGGCCGGGUGUGUAAGCGCAGCGAUGCGUUGAGCUAACCGGUACUAAUGAACCGUGAGGCUUAACCUU
rnacentral:rRNA from 1 species